rnacentral:lncRNA from 12 species
GAUGUUUAACUGGGUGGUGAAGGUCGUGCCACAUCCUCCCAAUACACAGGAGGAUCUGGGGGAGGAGGCGAUCACUGCGAAUGGAAAAACAUCAACUCGAGAAAAGUUCAAUUCAGCCAAACCAGGUAGAGAGGAAGACCAAUCAUCUCAAACCUCAAAGGACAGUGUUCAGAGUGGUAUGUUGAACUGGAUCUCCAACGGUUUUGCAAGCGCACUGCCCCAACCUGCAGGGAGUCCUCUUCUUACGAGAGCCAACCCUGAUACUAAAGUAUUGAUUUCAUGUCAACUAAAGUAGCUUGAUAUUUGAUA